GUGACUGCGUACCUUUUGUAUAAUGGGUCAGCGACUUAUAUUCUGUAGCAAGGUUAACCGUAUAGGGGAGCCGUAGGGAAACCGAGUCUUAACCGGGCGUUAAGUUGCAGGGUAUAGACCCGAAACCCGGUGAUCUAGCCAUGGGCAGGUUGAAGGUUGGGUAACACUAACUGGAGGACCGAACCGACUAAUGUUGAAAAAUUAGCGGAUGACCUGUGGCUGGGGGUGAAAGGCCAAUCAAACCGGGAGAUAGCUGGUUCUCCCCGAAAGCUAUUUAGGUAGCGCCUCGUGAAUUCAUCUCCGGGGGUAGAGCACUGUUUCGGCUAGGGGGCCAUCCCGGCUUACCAACCCGAUGCAAACUGCGAAUACCGGAGAAUGUUAUCACGGGAGACACACGGCGGGUGCUAACGUCCGUCGUGAAGAGGGAAACAACCCAGACCGCCAGCUAAGGUCCCAAAGUCAUGGUUAAGUGGGAAACGAUGUGGGAAGGCCCAGACAGCCAGGAUGUUGGCUUAGAAGCAGCCAUCAUUUAAAGAAAGCGUAAUAGCUCACUGGUCGAGUCGGCCUGCGCGGAAGAUGUAACGGGGCUAAACCAUGCACCGAAGCUGCGGCAGCGAA
rnacentral:rRNA from 1 species